rnacentral:lncRNA from 1 species
CCUGGUCCGUAGUCCCCCUCCCAUCUCAGGGAUCAGCCGUGCGGUGCCCAGUCCCGUCCUUGGGCUCCGUGACUGCCCUGGCUGGGGGUUGUGGAUUUGGGGCUGGGGUUGGGACAGCCCUGCUGUGAGCUCAGCCCCUCAGACAGGACAGCCCACAGGGGGCUGAGUGCCUCCAGCUCUGUCCCUCCAGGAGAGUACCCCCAGCCUGUCUGAGUGCCCCCUGUCCUGCCAGUGGCGGCACUGCGGCACUCUCUGACUCGGGGUCGCCCUCACCAUGCUUGGUCUGCAGAGGCUGGGAGCGUGGGGUGCGGAGCAGACACCUCGGUUGCAGCCAUCUUGUCAGCUUGGGACAUCAGCAGCUGUUUGAUGCUAAGGAGGGAAGGGCCGGGAGGCUGCUGAAUGCCCACCCUGGCUCCCCUGUGGGUCUGCAUCCCACCUCCACCGCAGUCCCGGACGCCCAGUGCUCACCAGAGCCCAUUGACACUGAGUUCAGCCAGGGCCUGCAGCCGGGGGCCAGAGGUCUGAGAGUGUGGGACAGAGGCCACCGGCUGGGAGGUGAGUUUGGAGCUCAGGACUUGUCGGGAUUGCCCCCAGGCUCUUUUGGUGAAAUGUCUUGAUUUCUAGGUGUUAGGUGCUAACCCAACAAACAGGGGUCUCGCUGGUCAGCUUCUCCCCAAGCAGGUUCGGGAACACGGUGGAGUUACAGGCCCUGAGGCCUCCUUGAGCAUGGUGUCCAGCUUGUCAUCCUUCAUGUUGGUCUUGCCUGUUGCAGAGGGGUGGGGAGUGGUGUCAGGCGGGGCCUACUGGAGAGGCAGGAGGGACUGCUGGGCUCGGCAGGACUCAGGCCCCUGCCCUCCCGGCUCCAUAGCCUGUCCCAGGCUACAUGCUUGGGCUGGUCCGCUGGCCCUGCCCACCUGGAUGCCCCACCAGCUCUAGGCAGCCUGGGGCAGGUCUCCCUCCUGGAGGGGGCGAAACACUGCUCAGGGCUUUGGAGUGGGGAAGGUCAGCCAUUCGGGCCAGUGCCCUUGCCCUGUGGGACAUUGGUGUGGACGUUCACUUUGCCUUGUGCUCACACCCACCAAGGGAGGUGUACGUGUCCUUCGGGUCCUCCUUGUCCAUGAAGCUGUCCUGGUUCCGAAGCAGGAGUGUGAAUGCCCAGAAACAGAGGCAGUCCGUAGCACUGUGGCCGGCUGCCUCUGCCUCCACGCCCGGGCACAGGUGGCCACGGGUCCACGUUGGGUUGGGGCUCCUGGUGGGAAGGGGACUCGCCUUGAGUUCCUGGAUGUUGGGAUGUGCAAAGUUGGAGAAGAUGUUGGAGGAGGCCUGCUGGGCGUGCAGGGCAUCACCUUUCUUCCUGGUCUCCCUGCUGGCCUGAGGCAGGAGCACUGACGCUGAGGGUCCCAGACUGCUGGAGGACCCUUGAGGCACCCUGUGAUUUGAGAGCCUUAGCUCACAUGGUGAGGGGACUCCACCUAGUGCUGGACGGGCCCAGCAAGUGUGCUGCCAC